rnacentral:lncRNA from 1 species
UUUUCUUUCAGAUGAACAAGAAGUUUGUUUGAUUUGAUUGGCUGACCUGACAAUAAACACUGUCAAGACUCAGAUGACCAAAAUGUCAGAGAUUACACAAAGCUUUUGAUGAAAUGAGAGAAUAAUAAAGAAAUUAGUCCUUGUGAUGAAUUAAGAAGUAGGUUUACACUUCAGAUUGUUUUCCAACAAUGAAUGAAAAUACAAACAUAACUUAUAUUACUAGUGGCAGAAUUAGGAAAGCUACGAUAUAUAUGGUUAAUGCAUACACUUUUUGCAAGUCCCACUACAUAGCUGUUUUUGGUCCCAGUCUGUGAAAAAAGUCAAUGGAUGGUGACUUAAUUUAACAAUUUGAUGCAACAUAAAUUAAUACUGUAAUUAUACUUUUGACCCACUUUUAACAACAAUUGGUUCAAAUAUGUUUCAUGAAUUUGAGGACCUGAUUGAGCUCCUCUGAAUUUGUUGGCAGGCAUGGAUCAAGAUUUUUUUUAAAUGGUAAUUGUCUUGGGGUUCAAACAGGAAACAGGAAUGGGUUUAAGGAUGGUUUUUGGUAGUUUUUGCAUGAAGGAGAGUUUGUGAUGGAGGAUUAGAAAAAACUUUAGACCUAAUGGUUGGGCCAUCUGAGUGACUUUUAUUUUGUGUCAUUUUCAUGCUUUUGGUUUUUGUUUGUAUUAAUGCCCGUUCACUCACCACAUCAGCUGUUGAACAAUUGUUUUAUUGCAUGAACCCCCUGAGGGUUCAUGCUUAUAUAUUGGCGAGUUUUGGAUGUGUCUAUGGGCCACUCGAUAUCUCUCGGCCGGAAGUCAGAAUAAAAUUCUCGGAACGUCUCGAAAGUUUUCGGUAAUUUAUACAGGUCUUAACAGGUUGUUAUCUACGACUUUGAUAUGGUCCUUUGAUGGUCCUUGGCGACGCAAUCAUAUUUGUUUGAAAACGACCACUGUACACUGUAUGUAUCUAGGUCAAUUAUAACAUGGUAUUGUCUGUUGUCUCGAUAACAUGUAAACUAAUUAUGUUUGAAGAUUUAACCACGGGAUACUGUGUAUUUCAUCAUAGACCUACGGGAGAGAGCAUUCUGGUUAAAAUAGUAAUAUUAGAUCGGAAAACAGAAAGAUAAUAUUCUUAUCAAAAGUAUUUAAUUCAAUCGGAAUCAAAGAAAUAUAUACAAAUUAUAUACUGUAUUUAUGUUUCUAAAGAAACUAACAAUGAUUGAAAUCAGAAUAUUUUCACAGUUGCAAUUAAGAAAUGAAGUAUUUUAUAUAUGACGAGAUACUCUGCUUUGGUAUUUUUUAAUAUUCAUUUGUAAAGGAAACACACAAAUUUAAUCUGAAUAAAUUCUUACAUCCUACAAAAAAAUUGUUUAUAAACAAUAAUCAUUAUAUUUCUACGUUAAUUAUUUCAUACCAUUUUAGUAUUUAGGUUUUAUGAGUAUUUAUUAUUUAUUUUUUUGUAUUGUAAUAUAUCCAUAAAACGGAAAGUAAGAUAAAUUUAUUAAAUUUUUAAUUUUAAACGGUCGUGAAUAAAAUACUUGUGUGUUUUCAAAUCACGAAGCAUGAUUUUAAAUCCUUAAUUUGCAGCUCACAACAACCGUAAAAAUAAUUUACAAUAAUCACAACAAUAUUUAAUUACAACCAUAAUGUUGAUUAUUUUUAACUGUUUAAGUAUGGAUUUAGAAGUCUUUGCUUAUAUUUUGUAUAGUAAUAUAUUCACAUAGUGGAAUGUUAGAAUUUAAAAAUUGAUUCAUUCAAUAAAUAAAAUGUCCAUCCGUAAAUACUUGACGUUCGUGUUCAUUGAUACAUGUAUUAUAUAUUUUCAAAAGAAUUUGAAAAAAAUUACUAACAGGAACGUUAGUUUAAUAUAAAAUCUUUAAUUCAAUUUUUGUUUGUAUGUUUUAAUAGUUUAACCUUACAGCUAAUACAGCAUCUGCAUAUUUGUACUAUGGUACUGUUCCUAAAAUUGUAUUCAUUGUGUUGACAACUAUCCUACACGUCUAGAUUCAUUCACAUUAUAGAUCACAUUUCAAAAGCACUCUAUCGGUUUGCGUUCUCAAAAAUUCCGGAUAGAAUGUCAAUGAAUCCGGAGUCAAAACAUUUAAUGUAGGCCGCUUGACAUUUGAAUUCAACUAUUAGAUUAAGAUAUAUGUGAUGACGCAAAUGCGUAUUCUUUUCCGGAGUAUCAGUGAGAUGCUUUCUAUUCACUAUUUCGUGCGCUAAAAGACUAUUUGCAUGCAAUACUAUUAAAUUCACUCGUGAAAGCUUAUUUUCGUUUUCGUUAUCUAAUUUCAGGACACGGCAGAAAGAGCUUUACAUGUGACUUUCAAGCACGGUCAUCAUUACUAACGGUAUUCUGACCUCGAGUUGUUUCUCUUUUGUUUCUUUUUUGAGUCACUACAUCCUAUUAUAAACUUUGACCUUUACAAAAAGCUAAGGAUUGUCUACCCAAGGAUAGAUUCCUUAACUUUGUAAUAUAUUUAACUUUUUUCAUUCGAUAGUCACUGAUGUUUUUUUGUAGACUUAACUCGUGUCUGGCAUACAUCAUUUUCAUUCUGGUAUCUUUAUAUAUCUACAUACCUUUUUAUAUAAAUUGGUUAUUUUGAAAGUGUAUACAGGUAUUCAUAAAUUAAGAAAUUCUUCGGCAAAACUAAGUUUCCCUGUAGAAUGUUUGAAUUUAAGUAAAAUCAGGAAAUCCUUAAAAUUUUAGAUGUUUUAUGAGACCAAAAUAAGUCUCUCCAUAAGAGGUCCCAAUCAAUUGCAUGCCAUAGGUUUCAUCGCCGAUACAAUAUCUGCCAUGAGUAAAAACAGCUUCAAAUACGAGUUGAAAAUAUAAAGGCAUUCAUGUAGGAAACAAAAUAUAAAGAUAUGAUAGAUAAAAUAAAUGCAUCCACAAUUCCAGAUUAUAAAGCAAACUGAGUGCAUACAUUUAUAUUGCGAUAGGUUUGUGCAAUUUGCAUAAGUCAUCCGGUUAGUAGAAAUUAGGAUUUGCCAAAGGGUUAUAAUCGGAAAAAUUAUGUACAUUCCCAAGUAAUAAAUAAAAUAGUCGAGCUUUAAAAUAACUAUUCAAAUAGAAGCUGUAAAUAUAUACUUUCAACUGGCUUCUUCCAUUUACAGUCAAUUAUUUCAAUUCAAAAGCAAACACAAAUUCAGCAACGAUCUUUUGAUGACCCGGCAGUCAGCAGUCUUAGGUUUAUGGAUUGCUUUUCUUUUUUUAAAGAAAGCAACUUGUUUUUUUAAUUGCAAGGACAUUUUCGUGUUAGAUCUUGAAAUGUCAGGUUUCUGUAAAAAACAAAAUUGAAAUGCACGUCCUACCAGUAACACUAUAAUUUCUGAAGUAACUUAUUUACAAAUGAGAACUUAUAAUUUACAUCUUUUCAUAUCUGUUACAUGAGUUCUUAAAUAACAAUUAUAUUGUAUAGAUUUCAAAUUCCCUGAUAACCUGCUGUUUAUAAUACAAAUUUAUAGACCAGCUUGUCUGUGUUUUCAGUAUAACUUUCAAUUUAUUAUGUCAGAGUUAUCUGCCCUUUGAUAAUAUUGAAAUCUGUUUCCUUUCAUUAUCAUAUAUGUUGACAGAAAAGAAUAAUUAAUUAGAAAUUUAAUUAAUUGAAGAGGUCAAAGUUUAUCUAAAUGAUUUAAAGAAAUGGCCUUAUAAUGGUUAUGUAGAGACUGUUAAGUAAUAUGGGUUAUACAUACAGACAUUUAAAGAGAAAUAAUAAUUAAUUUACAUUAUUUUGACAUUGUUUAAGUUCUGUUUUCUUUAUUUCCAUGUAUGAUAUCUUGAUAUUUAUGCACAAAUGUGCCUAUUCUCUCAGUUUGGUUAUGUGACAGUAUUAUGCAUUUUAAGGACAUUCCAUGGUGUGCAUUAGGUGCACGAUUUGUCAUAAAUAUAAGAAGAUGUGGUGUGAGUGCCAAUGAGACAACUCUCUCAUCCAGGUCACAAUUUGUAAAAGUAAACCAUUAUAGGUAAAAAGUACAGUCUUCAAUCUGGAAUUAAGACCUCACAUUAACAGGAUGCCUGCAACAUACAUCAAGGCCUCCCCAUGAUUGAAGUAAGAAAAUGUUUUUUUCAAUAUUUAAAAAAAAUUUCCCUAUUUCAUAGUGACAAUGGACUCUUGUUAGUUCUCUGAAAGAGAGGAAAGAAUUGACAGACCAACACCGUAUUGGAAGUAUUUUAUUGAAUCGUAGCAGAAAAAUAUAAAAAGAAGAUGUGGUAUGAAUUCCAAUGAGUCAACUCUUCACAAGAGAUCAAAUGACACAGAAAUUAACAACUACAGGUCACUGUAUGGCCUUCAUCAAAGCCUAUGUUGCUAUUAAAGGUCCCAUAUUUUUCAGAUGUCACCAGAAUCACUCAAACGAAUUAUUAGAAGAUAUUGGUGCACAAUUUAUAAUUAAAACACAAACCUUGAAUUACCUGGUAAUUUGUUCAGAUGAACAUGUGAAGUACCCUACAUUCCAUUGAAAACCUGUUGGUGACCUUCUGCUGUUGUCCGUUCUAUGGUCGGUUGUUGUCUCUUUGACACAUUCCCCAUUUCCAUUCUUAAUUUUACUUCAUGAUAGGUUAAUUAUUAUUUGUUAUGUCCAGUGGAAACUAUUGCAUGCAUAAUCAGAAUGAGAAUCAUUUAUGAUAGUACCUCCUUAAAUUACAGAAAACUAUAGUGUUAUUGAAAAAAAUAAAUAAAAUCAACCAAAAAUGACACUCCAACAGUGUACUACUACUGUCUGGAACUUAAUUUGUAGUUAGGGUGGGAAUUUGUUCCAAAAAACUCGCUAUCAAACUUUUAGAUGAAGAACUGCAAUUUUGAAUAAAUGAACAGUUCCUUUGCUAUACUGUAUAGGUUAAUAAAUUGUAAAUUAUGUAUUAUUUUUUUUAAUAAAUUUAUGCUCCAUUUUAUCAGAAUAUUACUUCCGAUAAUAUGAUAAAUGAGCACAUGUUAUGUUUAACUUUAUAAAUAAAAAUAAUUGUAUGCAUAAUGCAUAUUUAAUAACACUUUUAGUUUUAUUGUUUGUGAAAAACAUAUGUUUUAUUCACGCUUUGUGUCUCUUUUAUAGGUUGUCACAUGCAUGGAAGAUAAAGUAAACAACAGUCAGAAAGAUCAAAGAAUAUGUAAAUGAGUUUUCCAUGCAUUUAUCUUGUAGCUAUCAUACUUUUAACCUCUGACCUUUAAGUUUUCUCUAAUUUGUAAAUUGACCAAAUACUUACUUUGAUAUACAAUAGUUUCAAUUUGACCUGCUGAUUGAAUAGAUGUCAUUUUCAUGGAUCAUUGAUUUCAUCCUUUUUAUGAUGGGUCACUUUCUUUACAGAUCAUUAAGAAAUUUGGUAGGCUGACUUGUUCCAUUAACACCCAUCUGUAAUCAUAAAUCUUGAGGGUAUUUGGUAAAUUAAAGCCAAACAUGAAAUUUUACAGGAGCUAAAUAGUAGAUGAUGUAUAUUAAACAAUUAUUAUAGGCCCUGGUCAAGCGAUUUUUUAAAAGGGAUGUUAAAACAUAUAUAUGCAAGUCAUUAAAGACUAACCGGGUUCAACUAUAUAAUAUGUCCCAAUACAGAAGCAUUAGAUGUCAAUCAAAUUCCAUAUCUGCAACUGCAAUAAGACAAGUUUCAUUUUUUCUUUAAUCAUAGUAUGAAGUCCAUUUAUGUUCUUAUUUUCAAAAUUUCCCUUAAAUUUCAAAAUCACAAGACCAAUGACAGUUGAUUUGUUGUGUGCUUAAAAGUUGAACAACAUAAUAAAAUUGAGGAUGGAAAUGGAGAAUGUGCCAAAAGAGACAACAACCCCACCAUAGAAAAAAACAACAGUAGAAGGUCACCAACAGGUCUUCAAUGUAGCGAGAAAUUCCCGCACCCGGAGGCGUCCUUCAGCUGGCCCCUAAACAAAUAUAUACUAGUUCAGUGAUAAUGAACGCCAUACUAAUUUCCAAAUUGUACACAAAAAACUAAAAUUAAAAUAAUACAAGACUAACAAAGGCCAGAGGCUCCUGACUUGGGACAGGCGCAAAAAUGCGGCAGGGUUAAACAUGUUUGUGAAAUCUCAACCCUCCCCCUAUACCUCUAGCCAAUGUAGAAAAAGUAAACGCAUAACAAUACGCACAUUAAAGUUCAGUUCAAGAGAAGUUCGAGUUUAAUGUCUAGAUAGAUAAGAGGGAGGUUUGUGCCUAUGUAAAACUUGUUAAACCCCAUCCCCACACGUUUCGUUUAGCCUGUAUCAAGUACGGCUAUUUAGAUUAUGCUUUGCAGACCCACUGGAUUCUUAAAAAAGGGGGCUGUUGGCUGCCAAACUAGACUAAAUUUUGUCAGAGCUCUAUAUUAUAAAAGACCUCAAGACAAAUAUCCAGAGUAAAAUUUCCCUAAUUUCUUUUUUAAGGAAUACAGCAUUACCAUCAGGAAAACAUGUUACAAAUUUUCUUGACAUGAGCCAACUUAAGUCUUGGCUGACAUUCCUAAACACUGUAAGCUUUAGUGAGAAGAAACAAAAACAAGCUUUUAAGUAUUUUUGUUUGAUGUGGCCUUGUAUGAAAACUGCAAAGCAAACAUGCUAUUUCAAGACCACCAAGAUGUUUUUAACUACUAUACUUUGUGAAUAUCAUCUAGCUUCCAGACUCUUUUGAAUCAAAGAGAACAGAAAUUAGUUGAUUUCUAAAAAUGAUGGUGAUCUCUAAUGCAUUUUAAAUGACUGCAUAAAUAUGAGGGUCUGAAUGGGUUUUACAGAGAUUAAAGGGUAAAAAGUGCAGAAUAAGCUUGGGUAAAAAAAUAGAGAAAAAUGUACCAAAAAAUUUAAAAAAAGAGAAUUAUGAGGACUAAAAUAUAAAGAAUACAGAAUUAUGGAGGACUAGAAUAUAAAGUAUAGGUAAUUAUGGACAAAAAUAUUUAAAGAAAAGGUAAAAUUAUCUAACCCCAUCCAUAUAUUCAUUCCAUACCCUCACAUAUGCACUGACUUUGAUCCUGCUUGACAGUAAUUAAUUAUUUUUUAAACAUUUUUAAGAAUCCUGUCAUUGAAGUUUGAGAGAUGAUGUGGUUUUGACAGUAAGAAGAAAUAAAGAAGGAUUUGGUAACUGUCUCAUCUGGUAAAACUUGAAACUUUCUUUGUUUUCAAAUCCACCAGACUUAAAAACAUCUAUGUAAACAAAAAUUAACAGCAAAUUAACCGGAAAAUUCAAACAUCUUUAAAUUAUCCUCCC